AGAGUUUGAUCAUGGCUCAGAUUGAACGCUGGCGGCAGGCCUAACACAUGCAAGUCGAACGGUAACAGGAAGCAGCUUGCUGCUUUGCUGACGAGUGGCGGACGGGUGAGUAAUGUCUGGGAAACUGCCUGAUGGAGGGGGAUAACUACUGGAAACGGUGGCUAAUACCGCAUAACGUCGCAAGACCAAAGAGGGGGACCUUCGGGCCUCUUGCCAUCAGAUGUGCCCAGAUGGGAUUAGCUGGUUGGUGAGGUAACGGCUCACCAAGGCGACGAUCCCUAGCUGGUCUGAGAGGAUGACCAGCCACACUGGAACUGAGACACGGUCCAGACUCCUACGGGAGGCAGCAGUGGGGAAUAUUGCACAAUGGGCGCAAGCCUGAUGCAGCCAUGCCGCGUGUAUGAAGAAGGCCUUCGGGUUGUAAAGUACUUUCAGCGGGGAGGAAGGUGUUGCGGUUAAUAACCGCAGCAAUUGACGUUACCCGCAGAAGAAGCACCGGCUAACUCCGUGCCAGCAGCCGCGGUAAUACGGAGGGUGCAAGCGUUAAUCGGAAUUACUGGGCGUAAAGCGCACGCAGGCGGUCUGUCAAGUCGGAUGUGAAAUCCCCGGGCUCAACCUGGGAACUGCAUUCGAAACUGGCAGGCUUGAGUCUUGUAGAGGGGGGUAGAAUUCCAGGUGUAGCGGUGAAAUGCGUAGAGAUCUGGAGGAAUACCGGUGGCGAAGGCGGCCCCCUGGACAAAGACUGACGCUCAGGUGCGAAAGCGUGGGGAGCAAACAGGAUUAGAUACCCUGGUAGUCCACGCCGUAAACGAUGUCUACUUGGAGGUUGUGCCCUUGAGGCGUGGCUUCCGGAGCUAACGCGUUAAGUAGACCGCCUGGGGAGUACGGCCGCAAGGUUAAAACUCAAAUGAAUUGACGGGGGCCCGCACAAGCGGUGGAGCAUGUGGUUUAAUUCGAUGCAACGCGAAGAACCUUACCUGGUCUUGACAUCCACAGAACUUUCCAGAGAUGGAUUGGUGCCUUCGGGAACUGUGAGACAGGUGCUGCAUGGCUGUCGUCAGCUCGUGUUGUGAAAUGUUGGGUUAAGUCCCGCAACGAGCGCAACCCUUAUCCUUUGUUGCCAGCGAUUAGGUCGGGAACUCAAAGGAGACUGCCAGUGAUAAACUGGAGGAAGGUGGGGAUGACGUCAAGUCAUCAUGGCCCUUACGACCAGGGCUACACACGUGCUACAAUGGCGCAUACAAAGAGAAGCGACCUCGCGAGAGCAAGCGGACCUCAUAAAGUGCGUCGUAGUCCGGAUUGGAGUCUGCAACUCGACUCCAUGAAGUCGGAAUCGCUAGUAAUCGUGGAUCAGAAUGCCACGGUGAAUACGUUCCCGGGCCUUGUACACACCGCCCGUCACACCAUGGGAGUGGGUUGCAAAAGAAGUAGGUAGCUUAACCUUCGGGAGGGCGCUUACCACUUUGUGAUUCAUGACUGGGGUGAAGUCGUAACAAGGUAACCGUAGGGGAACCUGCGGUUG
rnacentral:rRNA from 1 species